CAUGCAAGUCGAACGGAGCACCUUGAUUGAGUUUCGGCAAAUGGAUAGGAAUGCUUAGUGGCGGACUGGUGAGUAACGCGUGAGGAACCUGCCUUCAGAGGGGGGACAACAGUUGGAAACGACUGCUAAUACCGCAUGACGCAUUUUGAUCGCAUGGUCGAAAUGCCAAAGAUUUAUCGCUGAAAGAUGGCCUCGCGUCUGAUUAGCUAGUUGGCGGGGUAACGGCCCACCAAGGCGACGAUCAGUAGGGGUUCUGAGAGGAAGGUCCCCCACAUUGGAACUGAGACACGGUCCAAACUCCUACGGGAGGCAGCAGUGAGGAAUAUUGGUCAAUGGACGAGAGUCUGAACCAGCCAAGUAGCGUGCAGGAUGACGGCCCUAUGGGUUGUAAACUGCUUUUAUAAGGGAAUAAAGUGAGUCUCGUGAGGCUUUUUGCAUGUACCUUAUGAAUAAGGACCGGCUAAUUCCGUG
rnacentral:rRNA from 1 species